rnacentral:rRNA from 1 species
AUUGAACGCUGGCGGCAUGCCUUACACAUGCAAGUCGAACGGCAGCACGGGAGCAAUCCUGGUGGCGAGUGGCGAACGGGUGAGUAAGGCAUCGGAACGUGCCCAGUCGUGGGGGAUAACGUAGCGAAAGCUACGCUAAUACCGCAUACGAUCUGUGGAUGAAAGCGGGGGACCGUAAGGCCUCGCGCGAUUGGAGCGGCCGAUGUCAGAUUAGGUAGUUGGUGAGGUAAAGGCUCACCAAGCCGACGAUCUGUAGCAGGUCUGUGAGGAAGACACGCCACUAUGGGACUGAGACACGGCCCAGGCUCCUACGGGAGGCAGCAGUGGGGAAUUUUGGACAAUGGGCGCAAGCCUGAUCCAGCAAUGCCGCGUGCAGGAUGAAGGCCUUCGGGUUGUAAACUGCUUUUGUACGGAGCGAAACGGCUUCCACUAAUACUGGGGGCUAAUGACGGUACCGUAAGAAUAAGCACCGGCUAACUACGUGCCAGCCGCCGCGGUAACAC